GUAACAUGAAGAGUUUGAUCCUUGCUCAGGAUUAACGCUGGCGGUAUGCAUAACACAUGCAAGUUGAACGGACUCGUUUUAUAAAAUGAGUUAGUAGCAGACGGGUGAGUAAUAUGUGAGAAUCUACGUUUAGGUGGGGGAUAACUUAUAGAAAUAUUUGUUAAUACCCCAUAAUUGUGCUAUAAAGUAAAAAUUUUUUGCCUAAACAUGAGCUUGCAUCUGAUUAGUUUGUUGGUUGGGUAAUGGCUUACCAAGACUUUGAUCAGUAGCUGAUUUGAGAGAAUGGUCAGCCACACUGGAAUUGAGAACGGAACAGACUCCUAUGGGAGGCAGCAGUGGGGAAUUUUCCGCAAUGAGUGAAAACUUGACGGAGCAAUACCGCGUGUAGGAAGAAGGCUGUAUUAGUUGUAAACUUCUUUUUUCAAAAAAGAAUAAGUGACGUUAUUUGAAGAAUAAGCAUCGGCUAAUUCCGUGCCAGCAGCCGCGGUAAUACGGGGGAUGCAAGUGUUAUCCGGAAUUAUUGGGCGUAAAGGGUCAGGAGGUGGUAUUAUGUGUUUAAUGUUAAAUGUUAAAGCUUAACUUUAUAAAGGCAUUGAAAACUGUAAUACUAGAGUAUGGUAGAGGUAAAGGGAAUUUCCAGUGUAGCGGUGAAAUGCGUAAAUAUUGGAAAGAACACCAAAGGCGAAGGCACUUUGCUAGGCCAAUACUGACAUUGAGAGACUAAAGCUAAGGUAGCAAACAGGAUUAGAUACCCUGGUAGUCUUAGCCGUAAACUAUGGAUACUAAGUUAUGAAGAUUCUGUAUUUAUAUGUGUUAGAUAUAUAUAUAGAUAUGAGGAUGCAUUUCUAAAGUUAACACGUUAAGUAUCCCGCCUGGGGAGUAUUCUUGCAAAAGUGAAACUCAAAGGAAUUGACGGGGGCCCGCACAAGCGGUGGAGCAUGUGGUUUAAUUCGAUGCAACACGAAAAACCUUACCAAGACUUGACAUGCUAGAGUAAAUGAUUAUUAUUAAUCAUGUAAUUAAAAAAUCUAGGCACAGGUGGUGCAUGGCUGUCGUCAGCUCGUAUCGUGAGAUGUAUGGUUUAGUCCUAUAACGAGCGCAACCCUUAUCUUUAGUUAAAUUUGUAUAUUAAAGAAACUGCUGUUGACAAAUCAGAGGAAGGAGAGGAUGACGUCAAGUCAUCAUGCCCUUUAUGUCUUGGGCUACACACGUGCUACAAUGGUUAAGACAAUUAGUUGCAAACUUGUAAAAGUGAGCUAAUCUAUAAACUUAAUCUAAGUUCGGAUUGUAGGCUGAAACUCGUCUACAUGAAGUUGGAAUCGCUAGUAAUCGCCGGUCAGCUAUACGGCGGUGAAUAUGUUCUCGGGCCUUGUACACACCGCCCGUCACACCAAGGAAGUUAGUUGUGUUUGAUAUUGUUUUUUUAACCUUUUGGGAAAUGAUAAUUAGGGCCUGGCUGGUGACCGUGGUGAAGUCGUAACAAGGUAGCCGUACUGGAAGGUGCGGCUGGAAAAAUGUUUU
rnacentral:rRNA from 1 species